CAAUACUCCAAUUGAUAUUUAAUGUCAUAAACGAGCCAUUACUCUGCUAGGAUAUUUGGUUUGUUUUCUAACUUCUCAAUGAGCAGUAAGUUGAUAACUUCUAAGGAAAAAUAAUUCACCUGAAAAGAAAGAAAUCUCCAAUAGAGGGAUCCCUGGUCCUAGAGCACGGCAUGAAAAAGGAAACAGAAGGAGAAAAAAGCAACCUUACACUGUAGCGGGAAAGAGAGUUUCGCUCAACAAACAGAAGCCCUUGACUUCAGAGGUGAAUAAUCCCAGAAACAAGCUACCAAGUUGCAGGGAGAAUCUAAAAGCAGUAAUUCUACCUAACAGUGGUCUCAGAUUUGCCAUCCCAGGACCCAUGAAAGCAGCAGAAUGUCACUGGAAGACAUCUGGAGAAAUUGGAAAGAAGAACAGUAUUAAGUGCAUCACCAACCAAAUGCAAAUGAACAAAAUGAACGUCCACCUCCCUGUGCAACAAUGGCAGAGGCGGUUUGCCGGUGUCAGGUAUAUUUGAAUAUGUUACUGACUUACAUGGCACACGAUGUGAUUGAUGCAGGUACUACAUUACAAACCACGGUGGUCUGUUCCAUUGGAACAUGGAUUUGAAAGACUAUUGUUGUUCUUGGUGAGACCUUUUUGACUCCUUUCUGCUUGUACACUUCUUUUUUUUUUUUCCAAAGCAGAUGAUGGGGACUAAUGUCGCAGCCCCUGAACAAAAGGAUUGAAAAAUUUGGACUUUAUUCCUGGCCCAGUCAUACAAUGUUCUCCUCCCUAGACCAUGUUGAUUUUUGUCUGUUCAUUUGUUUGUUUUUCUCUUUCAGGUAAGACUUAAGCCCAUGGUUUUUUUAGAGGUCACUUAAUGUGGUAGAAAGAACACCAGCUUUGGGGUCAGCAAAAUCUGAGUGGUGGUCCUGAUUGUGCCAUGAAUAUGGUGUGAGACUUUAGGCAAAUUAUUUAUUCUUUUGGAGAUUCAGAGUCUUAUCUGAAAAAUGGAAAUCAGAUCGCCCACCUUGCAGAACUGUUUGUGAGAAUUUAAUUAAACUUCAUAAAUAUAGUGACCAGCACAGUAUAAGUUACAUUGUA
rnacentral:lncRNA from 1 species